GCGCCCGUAGCUCAGAAGGAUAGAGCGACGGUUUCCUAAACCGUAGGUCACAGGUUCGAUUCCUGUCGGGCGUA
rnacentral:tRNA from 1 species